rnacentral:lncRNA from 1 species
AGAUUGGGACCACCAUCCAGCAAGCUCAGAAGCUCAAAUACAAAGAAGUAGCUUUCUGGACUGGCCUCCGGGGUAUGGAGGUGGAGGAAGCAACCGAGGAAGACACUCAGAAAUGAAGUCGAAGGCAGCACAACCCUGGAAGCCAUUAACAACCUGGUCAAUGCUGUUCCCCAGAAGGUGUCUGUAGCCCAGAGAGCUUUCUUAUCACACAGGCUGAAGAACUGUGUUGGAAGUGGGCAGAAGCCAGUGAAGAGAAAUGUUUGUAACUGUGGUUUCAGUUUGUAAAAUAAAUAAAAUAAAAAUCUUCGAGGGGAACCAAA